AGAGUUCGAUUAUGGCUCAGGAUGAACGCUAGCUACAGGCUUAACACAUGCAAGUCGAGGGGCAUCGGGGGAGAGCUUCGGCUUUCCCGCCGGCGACCGGCGCACGGGUGAGUAACGCGUAUCCAACCUGCCCAUGGCUGGGGGAUAACCUUGCGAAAGCAAGCCUAAUACCCCAUGGCCUCAUCCCGGGGCAUCCCGGUUUGAGUAAAGGAUUCCCGGCCAUGGAUGGGGAUGCGUCCGAUUAGCUUGCCGGUGGGGUGACGGCCCACCGGGGCGACGAUCGGUAGGGGUUCUGAGAGGAAGGUCCCCCACACUGGAACUGAGACACGGUCCAG
rnacentral:rRNA from 1 species